rnacentral:pre_miRNA from 1 species
CUUCUACUCCCUCUGUUCGGAAUUACUCGUCCAAGAAAUGAAUGUAUCUAUAUGUAUUUUAGUUGUAGAUACAUCCAUUUUUGUGACAAGUAAAUCCGAACGGAGGGAGUAGUCA